UUGUUGGGAAGAUUUAACUCCGUUAAUAGAUCUACAGUCUAUCGCUUCUACUCGGCCACCAAACA
rnacentral:tRNA from 1 species